rnacentral:misc_RNA from 1 species
AACUCACGCAAUGCACUUCUCUA